rnacentral:rRNA from 1 species
GCACAACGCGAAGAACCUUACCACCUUUUGACAUGCCUGGACCGCCACAGAGAUGUGGCUUUCCCUUCGGGGACUGGGACACAGGUGCUGCAUGGCUAUCGUCAGCUCGUGUCGUGAGAUGUUGGGUUAAGUCCCGCAACGAGCGCAACCCUCGCCAUUAGUUGCCAUCAUUCAGUUGGGAACUCUAAUGGGACUGCCGGUGCUAAGCCGGAGGAAGGUGGGGAUGACGUCAAGUCCUCAUGGCCCUUACAGGGUGGGCUACACACGUGCUACAAUGGCGACUACAGAGGGUUAAUCCUUAAAAGUCGUCUCAGUUCGGAUUGUUCUCUGCAACUCGAGGGCAUGAAGUUGGAAUCGCUAGUAAUCGCGGAUCAGCAUGCCGCGGUGAAUACGUUCCCGGGUCUUGUACACACCG